ensembl:snoRNA
UCGCUGCUUUUGAGCCCCUGCUAUGCCUGCACCGGGUGCCGGGCGCGGGCCAGGCUGCAGCGCCAGAGCGGGUGCUGGUGCAUAUCUGGGGCCGCCUGCCUCCCAGUGACGGCCAUUUUAACCAGGAGCCACGACC